CCUACGGGAGGCAGCAGUGAGGAAUAUUGGUCAAUGGGCGAGAGCCUGAACCAGCCAAGUCGCGUGAGGGAGUACUGCCCUAUGGGUUGUAAACCUCUUUUGUCGGGGAGCAAAAGCCGGACGUGUCCGGCUGUGAGAGUACCCGAAGAAAAAGCAUCGGCUAACUCCGUGCCAGCAGCCGCGGUAAUACGGAGGAUGCGAGCGUUAUCCGGAUUUAUUGGGGUAAAGGGGUGCGCAGGUGGAUUUUUAAGUCAGCGGUCAAAUCGUGGGGCUCAACCCCAUCCAGCCGUUGAAACUGGGGAUCUAGAGUGUGCGAGAGGUAUGCGGAAUGCGUGGUGUAGCGGUGAAAUGCAUAGAUAUCACGCAGAACCCCGAUUGCGAAGGCAGCAUACCGGUGCACAACUGACGCUCAGGCACGAAAGCGUGGGUAUCGAACAGGAUUAGAUACCCCAGUAGUC
rnacentral:rRNA from 1 species